rnacentral:rRNA from 1 species
GACGAACGCUGGCGGCGUGCCUAAUACAUGCAAGUAGAACGCUGAAGAGAGGAGCUUGCUCUUCUUGGAUGAGUUGCGAACGGGUGAGUAACGCGUAGGUAACCUGCCUUGUAGCGGGGGAUAACUAUUGGAAACGAUAGCUAAUACCGCAUAACAAUAGGUGACACAUGUCAUUUAUUUGAAAGGGGCAAUUGCUCCACUACAAGAUGGACCUGCGUUGUAUUAGCUAGUAGGUGAGGUAACGGCUCACCUAGGCGACGAUACAUAGCCGACCUGAGAGGGUGAUCGGCCACACUGGGACUGGGACACGGCCCAGACUCCUACGGGAGGCAGCAGUAGGGAAUCUUCGGCAAUGGGGGCAACCCUGACCGAGCAACGCCGCGUGAGCGAAGAAGGUUUUCGGAUCGUAAAGCUCUGUUGUAAGUCAAGAACGAGUGUGAGAGUGGAAAGUUCACACUGUGACGGCAGCUUACCAGAAAGAGACGGCUAACUACGUG